rnacentral:rRNA from 1 species
UACGGAGGGGGCGAGCGUUGUUCGGAGUGACUGGGCGUAAAGAGCACGUAGGCGGUGUUGUAAGUCAUUAGUCAAGACUAGAGCUCAACUUUAGUAAGGCUAGUGAUACUAUAAUACUAGAGUAUCAGAGAGGAUUGCAGAAUUCCUGGUGUAGCGGUGAAAUGCGUAGAUAUAACUUAGAACACCGAUAGCGAAGGCAGCUUACCAGACUGAGUCUGACGCUGAUGCACGAGAGCAUGGGUAGCGAACAGG